AUACGAAGGGGGCAAGCGUUGUUCGGAAUAACUGGGCGUAAAGCGCACGUAGGCGGAAUGUUAAGUUAGAGGUGAAAUCCCAGGGCUCAACCCUGGAACGGCCUUUAAUACUGGCAAUCUAGAGACCGAGAGAGGUGAGUGGAAUUCCGAGUGUAGAGGUGAAAUUCGUAGAUAUUCGGAGGAACACCAGUGGCGAAGGCGGCUCACUGGCUCGGUACUGACGCUGAGGUGCGAAAGCGUGGGGAGCAAACAGGAGUAGAUACCCUUGUAGUCC
rnacentral:rRNA from 1 species